GCGGGAUAGCUCAGCCGGUUAGAGCAGCGGAAUCAUAAUCCGCGUGUCGGGGGUUCAAGUCCCUCUCCCG
rnacentral:tRNA from 1 species